ACCAGUUUUACUAAAACAUACAAUUGAAAUAAAUUACCUUUUCAACACAUAAAUGAUAAUGAUAGCUUUAAUUUACCAGGAAUGGAAAGAAUUUCUGAUUUGGUACUUCAUUAUUUUAUAUUCUCAGUAAAAAGUAUACUACAGUGAAAAAUCACCUUCCAACUAAUUUGGAAAACAAAGAAAAACAUUCUGAGGUGGUGCUGCAGUAAGAGACAUGCUGAUGUUCUCUAGUCAUGUGACCUUCCAAAAAAAAAAAGGAAUAAAAGGUCUGUGCACUUACACUGAACCCAGACUUCACAAUCAGAACUGCUCUUAUUCAAAGCCAUGUGUAAGACAAUAAGAAAAAUGUAACCUUUAAAAGUGACCUGCCUGAUCCAUGAUGAGUUUACUGUCCACCUGAUCGGGCAACUUGCUGCUGUUGGGUUUGAUGCAUCUCACAAAGUGCGGACUGGCGGCAAACAUCUUCUCCAUCAGUACGGCCAGGGAGUGCUGAACAAAAUCAACUCCAUUAUAGGUGUGAAGUUAAUCAAUAACGCGUCUCGUUAACAGCAGCGGCUCUUUACCUUGAACUGUGUGCCAACAGACUGCUUCCUGGUGGAGUUGAAGUUGUCAUCUACAAAGUUGACCAUCUUAAAAACAACAAAACAGGCAAAAUAAUCCACCUUUUCCCCCCAUAUUGUAAUCACUAACAACUAUAGAACAUCAAAAUAUCAGGAUUUACCUUUGCUUUACGUGGCAUCAACGUCCCUGUUCUGGAAAUUGUAGCUACAAAAGAACAAAAAAAAAAAAACCCAAAACAUAUUUUACAACGAUAAAAGUCUAUUGUUGAUCUGAAGCAGUUCUGAGCCGUAGCUGAGACAGAGCUGCUAUUAAUCACAACUAUCACAGCUUUUAUGUCUUUAUGGAUGCCUUUAAAUCUAGAUUUAAAAUGUUCUUUGACAGUCACUUGGCUCUUUAAACCUUUUAGGAUUUGUAGGACUUUAUUAAUGGCAGUUUAAAUAAAAUUUUAUUUACAUAACUUUACGAUAAUCAUUUAUGUAGUUAUGACCACCUUAGCUGAAAUAAAUAAAUAAAUAAAUAGGUUUAACUGGAUGUUCUAAUGAAAUUAAAUCGAUCUGUUUUGGGCAGAAAAUGAAUCUAGCAACCUGCACUUUUCCAGUUGUCCAGGAGGUGGUGGUGUAGUGAAAGUGUUGCGAUGAUUAUGAACAUCAAUGUUUAAACAAGGCGGUGUGAAUUAUUUACUUGUUUUUAAUUCCCAGCCCUGUUCUGUGUUGUGACUCACGCUGACCUACCAGCAAAGAGGACACUGAGGAGCGGCGUAACACUGUUGAUGAACAGAGUGCGAACGCUGGCUGGAAUGUUGUCCCGGUUCUUUUCCAGGAAACCACUAGCAUUAUAUUGCACCUGUACAAACCAGGAAAUCAGCAUUACCCAUAUUCCAACAUUUAUAUUGUCCUGCAAGUCAAUAUUUCUUUUCUCCCUUCUCCUUGUCUUCUGUUCUACCUUUCCAGCAUAGUGCACGACAGUAAAGAGAGGACUAUGGCUCCGGACCACCUCAAAGUGGGGGUUGGCUUUGAAUUUGCUGUUCAGCUUGUCUACCAAGUUUCCAUCUGUGGCCUGCGGUUAGGGGGGAAAAAAACAGGGUGAAAAUAUCCUGGUAUGCAGCUGAGAACAUAGACGUGGUUCGUGCACAUGCCAUUUCCUGUUCAUGGGUUUGACCACAGAACUUCAGACUGCCAAACUUUCUGCUGCUGCCACCUCAUAGACAGACGUGAAGAAAAGAAAAGAGAGAAUGUGUGGUGCAACAUCGAGAUCAAGACCAAGAGAGAAUCUACCAGAAUUGGUUUGUUAUCCUUGAAGGUGAUGGUCUCCCACUGGAUUCCCUCCUCUUUGUACUCAUUUUGCUCCAUUAGAAAAAUGUGCUG